GAUGAACGCUGGCGGCGUGCUUAACACAUGCAAGUCGAACGAAGCACUUAAGACUGAUUCUUCGGAUGAAGUCUUUGUGACUGAGUGGCGGACGGGUGAGUAACGCGUGGGUAACCUGCCUCAUACAGGGGGGUAACGAGUUAGAAAUAGACUGCUAAUACCGCAUAUACCUAAGUAUCGCAUGGUACAAUAGGGAAAGGAGCAAUCCGCUGAUAGAUGGGCGUUGCGUCUGAUUAGAUAGUUGGUGGGGUAACGGCCUACCAAGUCGACGAUCAGUAGCCGGACUGAGAGGUUGAACGGCCACAUUGGGACUGAGAUACGGCCCAG
rnacentral:rRNA from 1 species